UUUUCAUCAACCGAUAUCGGUUUUACUUAGCUGUAGAUUAAUAGGGAAUCGUGUGUAAAUCACGAACUGUCGCGCAACUGUAAAUCCUGCCUCUAAAGGCAACAAAGUAUCAUUAAUGCCACUGUUUGAUUUAAUUAAACGGGAAGGCGAUACAUUUGGGGAUAAGUCAGGAGACCUGCCGUUUAUCGAAUUGACGA
rnacentral:ncRNA from 2 species